rnacentral:rRNA from 1 species
AUUUAUGGUCAAGCUACUAAGGGCAUACGGUGGAUGCCUUGGCGCACGAGGGCGAUGAAGGACGCGGUCAGCUGCGAAAAGCCUCGGUGAGCCGCAAGCAGGCUUCGACCCGAGGAUCUCCUAAUGGGGCAACCCGACCAGGGCAAACCCUGGUCAUCCACUUCCGAAUGAAAUAGGAAGUGAGAGGCGAACGGGGGGAAGUGAACCAUCUCAGUACCCCCAGGAAAAAAAAGCAACUGCGAUUCCCCGAGUAGCGGCGAGCGAAAAGGGAACAGCCUAAACCGGACGUACGUGAUAGCUCGUGAGCGUUGUACGUCUGGGGUCGCGGGAGCCGACGUGGUUCCGUCACGACGGGGCCGGAGAGUUACAAACCAACACGCUAGCCGAACGAUCUGGAAAGUUCGACCACAGAAGGUAACAGUCCUGUAGGCGAAAGCGGAGUUGGCUCUCCAGUCGGUUUCCCAAGUACCACGGGACACGAGAAAUCCUGUGGGAAUCCGGGAGGACCAUCUUCCAAGGCUCAAUACCAACGUGCGACCGAUAGUGAACCAGUACCGUGAGGGAAAGGUGAAAAGCACCCCUUUGA